rnacentral:rRNA from 1 species
UGGCUCAGGAUGAACGCUGGCUACAGGCUUAACACAUGCAAGUCGAGGGGAAACGGCAUUGAGUGCUUGCACUGAAUGGACGUCGACCGGCGCACGGGUGAGUAACGCGUAUCCAACCUUCCCGUUACUGCGGGAUAACCUGCCGAAAGGCAGACUAAUACCGCAUGUUYUUCGAUGACGGCAUCAGAUUCGAAGCAAAGAUYCKUCGGUAACGGAGGGGGAUGCGUCUGAUUAGCUAGUUGGCGGGGCGACGGCCCACCAAGGCGACGAUCAGUAGGGGUUCUGAGAGGAAGGUCCCCCACAUUGGAACUGAGACACGGUCCAAACUCCUACGGGAGGCAGCAGUGAGGAAUAUUGGUCAAUGGGCGGAAGCCUGAACCAGCCAAGUAGCGUGCAGGAGGACGGCCCUACGGGUUGUAAACUGCUUUUAUGCGGGGAUAAAGUGAGGGACGCGUCCCUUUUUGCAGGUACCGCAUGAAUAAGGACCGGCUAAUUCCGUGCCAGCAGCCGCGGUAAUACGGAAGGUCCGGGCGUUAUCCGGAUUUAUUGGGUUUAAAGGGAGCGUAGGCCGGGGAUUAAGUGUGUUGUGAAAUGUAGGCGCCCAACGUCUGACUUGCAGCGCAUACUGGUUCCCUUGAGUACGCGCAACGCCGGCGGAAUUCGUCGUGUAGCGGUGAAAUGCUUAGAUAUGACGAAGAACCCCGAUUGCGAAGGCAGCCGGCGGGAGCGCAACUGACGCUGAAGCUCGAAGGUGCGGGUAUCGAACAGGAUUAGAUACCCUGGUAGUCCGCACGGUAAACGAUGGAUGCCCGCUGUCGGCGCCUUGCGCCGGCGGCCAAGCGAAAGCGUUAAGCAUCCCACCUGGGGAGUACGCCGGCAACGGUGAAACUCAAAGGAAUUGACGGGGGCCCGCACAAGCGGAGGAACAUGUGGUUUAAUUCGAUGAUACGCGAGGAACCUUACCCGGGCUUGAAUCGCAGGAGAACGAUACAGAGAUGUUGAGGUCCUUCGGGACUCCUGYGAAGGUGCUGCAUGGUUGUCGUCAGCUCGUGCCGUGAGGUGUCGGCUUAAGUGCCAUAACGAGCGCAACCCCUCUCCCCAGUUGCCAUCGGGUGAUGCCGGGCACUCCGGGGACACUGCCGCCGCAAGGUGCGAGGAAGGCGGGGAUGACGUCAAAUCAGCACGGCCCUUACGUCCGGGGCUACACACGUGUUACAAUGGCCGG